rnacentral:tRNA from 1 species
GGUGAGGUGGCCGAGAGGCUGAAGGCGCUCCCCUGCUAAGGGACGUAUACGGUUUAUAGCCGUAUCGAGGGUUCGAAUCCCUCCCUCACCGCCA